AUCCAGCUGAUGAGUCACAAAUAGGACGAAAUGCGCGUUAAACCGGAU
rnacentral:hammerhead_ribozyme from 1 species